UUUGCUUUCCUGUGUAGACUUGGAAAGAUUUUGGAGAUUGAAGAAGUCGUAGAGGCUUUGAUGGAAGGAAUAGUGACCAACCAGAAAAUGGUUUUUGUUCCACCACAGCUAAACAUUGCUUUGCUUUCUGAAAUGGUUUUUCCAGAACGUGCCCUGAACCUUCUGAAGAAGAUGACCAUUCCAAAGUUUGAUGCAGUCAUUGGGCAGAGAAGCACCCAGUGAAAAGCAAGAAUUUAUUCUCAUUUCCCAGAGGCACCAGUGAAAACAGAACAUGUGCUGAGCAUAGUUCAGCUGGCUUGAUUCAGAAAAGAGCUCAGGCAGGUGCUUCCAGACCACCAUUCCCAGGCACACCUAAGGGCUUAUUCCACACCUGCAGCUGGAGCACACCUGCAUAACAGGGAGUGUUAGCAAAGCAGUGAUGCAGCUCUAGAAGGGCUGCUUUUAAUGUACAUCCCAUCACCUUUGUCUCAUUGUGCUGAGGCAGGCAGCAUGCCCACAAAGCCCGUGUUUGCCCACAGCUCCCUAGUUGACUGCAAAGGGAUUACCUGACAACACGUUCAUCUGGACUCAUCCCUGAGCAAAAGCAUCUUGCAAGAAGCAAUUUAUAGAGGUGGGUGGCCUAUUUCAUCUCACUUAAUAAUUUUAAGUUAAAAAAAAUUUGCUCUAAUGAACACUUACAGUUUUGUGUGCAUUUGUAAUGAGCAUUAUUGAACUAAUUAUUUGUAUUAUUAAUUAUAUGUAAUUAUUGAAAUUAUUGAUUAUAUGUGAUUAUUGAGAUAAUACAGCCUUUUUUGUAAUGUAAUGCCUAAUUACAACAUUUAUCAAUUAUGCAUUUGCACCACCAACACUCCAUAUUACAAAUAAAUACAUUUUUCUAACCCAAA